GCUUUAAAAGGAAUACAGUUACCGU
rnacentral:tRNA from 1 species